GCCGGUUUAAGCGGCUGCCUUGUAAGCAGGAUGUCAGCGGUUCGAGUCCGUUAACCGGCACCA
rnacentral:tRNA from 1 species